GACGAACCGUGCGAACGUUGUUCGAAUUCACUGGGCUUAAAGGGCGCGUAGGCGGGUCAGCAAGUCCGGGGUGAAAGCUUUCGGCUCAACCGGAAAAGGGCCUUGGAUACUGCUGGUCUGGAGGAAGGUAGGGGCGUGUGGAACUUCCGGUGGAGCGGUGAAAUGCGUAGAUAUCGGAAGGAACGCCGGUGGCGAAAGCGACACGCUGGACCUUUUCUGACGCUGAGGCGCGAAAGCCAGGGGAGCAAACGGG
rnacentral:rRNA from 1 species